UACGUAGGGGGCAAGCGUUAUCCGGAUUUACUGGGUGUAAAGGGGGCGCAGACGGCGAUGCAAGCCAGGAGUGAAAGCCCGGGGCCCAACCCCGGGACUGCCCUUGGAACUGUGCGGCUAGAGUGCGGGAGGGGCAGGCGGAAUUCCUGGUGUAGCGGUGAAAUGCGUAGAUAUCAGGAGGAACACCGGCGGCGAAGGCGGCCUGCUGGACCGCGACUGACGUUGAGGCUCGAAAGCGUGGGGAGCGAACAGG
rnacentral:rRNA from 1 species